CCUACGGGAUGCAGCAGUCGAGAAUCAUUCACAAUGGGGGAAACCCUGAUGGUGCGACGCCGCGUGGGGGAAUGAAGGUCUUCGGAUUGUAAACCCCUGUCAUGUGGGAGCAAAUUAAAAAGAUAGUACCACAAGAGGAAGAGACGGCUAACUCUGUGCCAGCAGCCGCGGUAAUACAGAGGUUUCAGGCGUUGUUCGGAAUCACUGGGCGUAAGGCGUGCGUAGGCUGUUUGGUAAGUCGUGUGUGAAAGGCGCGGGCUCAACCCGCGGACGGCACAUGAUACUGCGAGACUAGAGUAAUGGAGGGGGAACCGGAAUUCUCGGUGUAGCAGUGAAAUGCGUAGAUAUCGAGAGGAACACUCGUGGCGAAGGCGGGUUCCUGGACAUUAACUGACGCUGAGGCACGAAGGCCAGGGGAGCGAAAGGGAUUAGAUACCCGAGUAGUC
rnacentral:rRNA from 1 species